rnacentral:rRNA from 1 species
UACGAAGGGGGCUAGCGUUGCUCGGAAUCACUGGGCGUAAAGGGUGCGUAGGCGGGUGUUUAAGUCAGGGGUGAAAUCCUGGAGCUCAACUCCAGAACUGCCCUUGAUACUGAGGAUCUUGAGUUCGGGAGAGGUGAGUGGAACUGCGAGUGUAGAGGUGAAAUUCGUAGAUAUUCGCAAGAACACCAGUGGCGAAGGCGGCUCACUGGCCCGAUACUGACGCUGAGGCACGAAAGCGUGGGGAGCAAACAGG